AGAUGCUCACUGGGUUUAAAGCGUGCGCAGGCGGUUUUGUAAGACAGAGGUGAAAUCCCCGGGCUCAACCUGGGAACUGCCUUUGUGACUGCAAGGCUGGAGUGCGGCAGAGGGGGAUGGAAUUCCGCGUGUAGCAGUGAAAUGCGUAGAUAUGCGGAGGAACACCGAUGGCGAAGGCAAUCCCCUGGGCCUGCACUGACGCUCAUGCACGAAAGCGUGGGGAGCAAACA
rnacentral:rRNA from 1 species